rnacentral:tRNA from 1 species
GGAGAGAUGGCCGAGUGGCUGAAGGUGCACGCCUGGAAAGCGUGUGUAUCUUAAUAGGGUACCGAGGGUUCAAAUCCCUCUCUCUCCGCCA